CCUUGCGACCCCAGUCAGGCGGG
rnacentral:rRNA from 2 species